rnacentral:rRNA from 1 species
CUGGUGUAUCGAUUGUGGCCACCUGCUGCAUUGUCGAGUAGCUAUGUUCGGAAGGGAUAAGCGCUGAAAGCAUAUUAAGCGCGAAGCCCACUUCAAGAUUAGGUUUCCCCAUGAGGACACUGAAAGACUAUCAGUUUGAUAGGCGCAAGGUGGAAGUAUAGUAAUAUAUGGAGCUGAAGCGUACUAAUAGUCCCAUCGCCUUUUUAU